GUUAUUGUAGCUUACAACAAAGCACAGCACUGAAAAUGCUGAGAAGGUGAUAAACCCAAAUAACA
rnacentral:tRNA from 1 species